GUGGGGAAUUUUGGACAAUGGGCGAAAGCCUGAUCCAGCCAUGCCGCGUGCAGGAUGAAGGCCUUCGGGUUGUAAACUGCUUUUGUACGGAACGAAAAGACUCCUUCUAAUAAAGGGGGUCCAUGACGGUACCGUAAGAAUAAGCACCGGCUAACUACGUGCCAGCAGCCGCGGUAAUACGUAGGGUGCAAGCGUUAAUCGGAAUUACUGGGCGUAAAGCGUGCGCAGGCGGUUAUAUAAGACAGAUGUGAAAUCCACGGGCUCAACCUGGGAACUGCAUUUGUGACUGUAUAGCUAGAGUACGGUAGAGGGGGAUGGAAUUCCGCGUGUAGCAGUGAAAUGCGUAGAUAUGCGGAGGAACACCGAUGGCGAAGGCAAUCCCCUGGACCUGUACUGACGCUCAUGCACGAAAGCGUGGGGAGCAAACAGGAUUAGAAACCCUUGUAGUCC
rnacentral:rRNA from 1 species